UAGUGGAGGUUCGUGAGGUAUUUUUGAGCAUGGCAAACUGCUUUCCUCUGCGUCUCCUCUCUUUAGGUCUGCUUUUGGGUUUUUGUUUGAAUGCAUGUGAUGUUGAAGUCCCUUCUGCCCUUCCAUCCUAUAUGAUAUCUACUAAUUAAGUUCAGAACCCAGUUAAGCGUCAACAUAUUCCCCAUUCGCUUGCCAUUGCCAUAUACUCUUUUACUUGCUGAACAUUACUCAUGUAUAAUUAAAAUUGAAUUGAUUAAGUCUCGAUUGAUCUCAAUUUUUAAGGGCAAUUGAGCCAGGUUAUGUCUUUUAUUUUUGAGGUGAUGGGGUUUGAGAGGAGCUUCAACUAUUUAUGGCGUGCAUAAAAAUUUGUAAAUGAAAUUAGAGAAACUAAAAUGAGAAGGAAGAAUUGCUCAUCUACUAAUUUAUUAACUACUAAAUGAAAUCAGAGGAAUUGAAUUGAAAAAGAUUUAGACUGAGGAAGAUUUAAAAUCAAACUCGUGUUGAAAUGCUUAUCAAAAUAUUUAUAGAAUCAAAGUAAGAUUAAUAUAAAUUUCUUAUAAGCUAUUUAUAAAGAGUCAGUUUGAGAUUGUUGCGAGUUUAAAAGUUGCUACCACUAUUUUUUAGAACUAAACACCGGUACUAUCACUAGUAGAACUGAACAUUAAUUAUUUCUUAAAACUGAGCACUAACUAAUUCUUAAAACUGAAAACUAGUACUACACUAUUUCUAGAACUGAACAUGGGUACUAUCACUAUUUCUUAAACUGAACACUGGUACUAUCACUAUUUCUUAAACUGAACACUGGUACUAUUACUAUUUCUUAAACUGAACACUGACUAUUUAUGAAACUAAACACGAGUACUACACUAUUUCUAGAAAUGAACAUGGAUACUAUCACUAUUUCUUAAAUUGAACACUUGUACUACUACUAUUUCUUAAACUGAACACUGACUAUUUAAGAAACUAAACACGAGUACUACACUAUUUAUGAAACUGAACACUAGUACUACACUAUUUUUGAAACUCAAUUCCCGUACUAUCACUAUUUCUUAAACUGAAUAUUAACUAUUUCUUAAACUAAACAUGGGUGCUACACUAUUUCUGAAACUCAACACUGGUACUAUCACUAUUUAUUAAACUGAACACUGACUAUUUCUAGAACUAAAUAAGGAUACUAUCACUAUUUCUUAAACUGAAUAUUAACUAUUUCUAUAACAGUUUGGGUUCGUGAUGAGAGGAUACAGAGGUUAUGAAGAUACAAAAAGCUAAGGUUUCCCGUGGGGAGCUUGAAAAAUUAAAAAAGAAUGGUAUGAAAAAUAAAAAGAACGGUUAUUUAACCAAAAGAUCAAAAAUAGAUCCACUGAUUGUAUAUGGGCUUAUUAAUUUCACAUAUCCUUCCUUCACACACAUGAAUUAAAAUAUAUAGUGGAAGCCAUCGGAGAGCUUAAACAAUUGAAUAUAUUGUAAUCCAUUCUCCACAUAUGACCUGCUAUUGAUUUGCUACCAAUCUUUUUUCAUUAAGUUCAUAUGCUGUCCCAAGGCACAAUCAUAUGCUACAGACUACAGUACCUUGUCAGGAAUGAUCACCGCACUACGAACAAUUAUAUAUCAACAAUCCGCGCGCACAUCUAUUGAUGAACAGGAGGUUUGUAUGAAAAUGCAGAGCAAACCCGGGAUGAAGAACACCAUCUCCAGCUCUCUGGAGUAGAAAGACUCGAAUAGAUAUUAUUUAACCAAAAGAUCAUAAAUACAUCCCGCCGAUUGGGGAAAAGAGCGUGAAAAAUAUCUUCAAAACAUACAAAAAGCAGAAAGAAUUCAAAAGAAAAAGAUCAUAAAUGAAUGAUUUACCAUGGGGAACUCGAAGGGAUAAAAUUGUUCGAAGUGCGGUUGGAGUCGGCCGGCCGUUUGUGAGGGUUGGGUUUUAUGCGGUUUUGGCAGUGCAUUGAUCUGGGUUUUGUUGCUUUGCUUGCGGGUAGUAGUUUGGUCUGUUUCACGAAAAAACUAACGGAAGGUCAAGGGUAAAAUUGGAAACACAUUAGGUUAUUUCAGUUGGGCCAUGUUGAUUGGACUGAUUAAGUGUUGGGCUUUAUCCUAACCAUUAAAUAAACUUAUUAGAUGGUUUUUGGUUAAAAUCCAAAGUUUUGGAACCCUUAUCAUUAAUUUUCCUUUAAAUUUUUCUUGCUUGUAUUGAACCCUUCCAUUUGUAAAAUGGUGCUCUUCCAAUUUUUCAUAUUUUAUUACACUCUUUAUAAAUGACUUAACGAGCAUCCGUUUUUAUAAGGCUUUAGAUGGAGAAGAACUUUGACAUGCAAUAUAGAUUUUAUAUUGUAUCACAAAUCAAUUGUACACUAUUAAAAGAUACCUAUGCAACAAAGAUUUUAUAUUGUAUCACAAAUCAAUUGUACACUGUUAAAGGAUACCUUCUUCAGUGAUGAAAGGCCAUCUUCAACCCCGUCUAGAAUUAUAAUCCUGCAAAAAAUUAUUUUUAAAUAAACAGUGUCAGAUCAUACCAUAUACAAUUUCCAACCGAAGGGGUAGCCCCACAAUAAUUUAUUAGUUUUAAGUUUAUACUUUAAAUUUAUUGUUUAAUUUCAUUAAAGUACAUUUAGAUGCUUUCAAUUAAGUCGUUAAAUUUGAAUUAAUUAUUGCAUUUGAGGAGUUGUGCCCAAAAAAAGGUUAAAAGACUAUGUUUGGCUAGCCUGGUGCCAUUUUAACCAAAUAAUAGUCUGGUGCGCUCAACAUAAUUAUUGCCUAAUCAUGGAGAUGACCCAAGUUUUCUGAGUGGAAGCCCUUUUCAAGUUUAAGAGUAGUUCCACCCCUAAAAAAAAUAAGCCAGCACCCAACCCAUUUAAUCCACUCAGUGAACAGUGAUAGACCCCAAUGAA
rnacentral:lncRNA from 1 species